CCGAAAAACAAACAACAUCAACAAUAUAAUGAAAACCUUUUUGUUCAUACACUUUAAAUUCUCACACUAAAUUUCUUUCUUCCAACUUCUUCAAAUUGCUACUAAGAGGUAUGAUUCUAACUUAAUCUUGACGUAAAUCCUGUUUGAGCCGAAGCAAUCCAUGUAGUCUAGAAACCUUCGGGAAACAAGUACCAAGAAAGGGAAAAAAGUACCAAAAAAGGUUCAUAGAUAUUGUUAGGAUUGUAAAUGGAGAAUAUCCGGUGGUAGGUUAGGGAUGAAAAGGUGAGGAUUUUAGAUAAAAUAUGAUUAAAUAGUAAGUAUAAGAACUAUCAUGAACUCAUUAGGGCAUCUUUAUCUGUGAUUUUUCCUUGGAUCAUGUCAGAAGAAAAAAUUAAAGUUAAUUUUUUACAGAUGUGAGGCAUGGGUUUUUGUUUGUUUUUCAUCCUUGCAAGUUGAAGUUAUUAAUGGGCCCUACAUUAACAUUUAAUGGCAGCAAAGAGAUAGAAAACUCUGUGUAAAAGGUACGCAGCACGCCUAGCUGGCGCGUGCAGCUGGUGCGUGAUUGCUUUGCAUUGCAGUCAAACUGCUCAGCUUUGCAGUAGUUUCAAUUUUUUUUUAUUCCUUUUUUUUCUCUUUUUUAUUUUUAUCUAUUUUUUCUCGCAUUCUCUUUCAUAAUCACACUUAGACCUCCUCAUUAGAUUAGUUUUUUUGCACACAUAUUUAACGCACACAUAUUUAAGCUCCACCUAGAAUAGAAGGGAAGCAAUAAGAAAAAGAAAAACAAGAAAGAAAGAAUCAAAAACGAAAUGUCAGAAGAGAGAGAGAAUUGCAUUUUGCUGCUUGCUUUUUCCGGUGGGACCCACGAAAUGUCAUAAAAAAACUCAACCUCCUGCAAGUCAGAGCAUGUGAGUUCAGUUGUGGGAAUUCACAUAGUCCAAUCAAUGGAGAAAUGAAGCAAUGCCAUCAAAGUUUGAAAUCACAACUUCCACUAUACAAACAAAAGUUUUACAAGAAAGGAUCAAGAAGUCAACCCAAGUACAAAAGGCCAUUCUUUGGAUGAAACUUCAAUGUUCAGCAAUCAGAUAUUACAGAUCCAAACAAAAGUCUAUAUUUAGGCAUAAAGAAUAUACCCUGAAAGCCUAAGCUGCUUUUUGGUUUCUUUCUUGCAUGUGAAACCAUACUAUAAUGGCUACUAGCAGGCUUCAUUAAGC